GAUGAACGCUGGCGGCGUGCCUAAUACAUGCAAGUCGAGCGAACAGAUGAGGAGCUUGCUCCUCUGACGUUAGCGGCGGACGGGUGAGUAACACGUGGAUAACCUACCUAUAAGACUGGGAUAACUUCGGGAAACCGGAGCUAAUACCGGAUAAUAUAUUGAACCGCAUGGUUCAAUAGUGAAAGACGGUUUUGCUGCCACUUAUAGAUGGAUCCGCGCCGCAUUAGCUAGUUGGUAAGGUAACGGCUUACCAAGGCAACGAUGCGUAGCCGACCUGAGAGGUGGACCGCCAACACGGAAACUAGGACACGUUCCAGACCCUAACGGAAGGCAGCAGAAGGAAUCCUUCGGAAUUGGGCGAAAGCUGGAGGGACCAAGGCGCGUGGAUGGAGGAAGUCUUCCGAACGUUAAACCCUGGUUAUUAGGAAAGACAAAAGUGGUAAGAAACUUGCACCUCUUGACGGUACCUUAAUAAGAAGGCACCGCUAACUUCGUG
rnacentral:rRNA from 1 species